AGUGAACGCUGGCGGUAGGCCUAACACAUGCAAGUCGAACGGCAGCACAGUAAGAGCUUGCUCUUACGGGUGGCGAGUGGCGGACGGGUGAGGAAUACAUCGGAAUCUACUUUUUCGUGGGGGAUAACGUAGGGAAACUUACGCUAAUACCGCAUACGACCUACGGGUGAAAGCAGGGGAUCUUCGGACCUUGCGCGAUUGAAUGAGCCGAUGUCGGAUUAGCUAGUUGGCGGGGUAAAGGCCCACCAAGGCGACGAUCCGUAGCUGGCCUGAGAGGAUGAUCAGCCACACUGGAACUGAGACACGGUCCAGACUCCUACGGGAGGCAGCAGUGGGGAAUAUUGGACAAUGGGCGCAAGCCUGAUCCAGCCAUACCGCGUGGGUGAAGAAGGCCUUCGGGUUGUAAAGCCCUUUUGUUGGGAAAGAAAAGCAGCAGGUUAAUACCCCGCUGUUCUGGCGGUACCCAAAGAAUAAGCACCGGCUAACUUCGUG
rnacentral:rRNA from 1 species